rnacentral:pre_miRNA from 1 species
GGGGGGAGGCCGGAUCCUGGGCUGUGUCCCCCGCGCCCUGUGCUUUCGGUCUGCGCUGUUGGAUUCGCGCUCCAGCCCCGCAGCCCCCU